AAUUUGUGUCUUAUAUCAGACAAACAUGAAUCUAUAAAGAGUGCAUAUAACAAUCCUGAAGUGGGAAAGGGCAUAUGACGGAGGGAAACGCUGGGGUCACUAUUUGGUAAAAGAGGCCAUUAAUGGACAAAAAUGUUGGCAUCCGAACAAGUUUUCACUGAUAAUUGCAACAAGGGGAUGGCUGAAGAAGUCAGUAAAGCUAACACACAUAAUGUCAUGC
rnacentral:lncRNA from 1 species